rnacentral:rRNA from 1 species
CAGUACCCGCAGGAAGAGAAAACAACCGUGAUUCCGGGAGUAGUGGCGAGCGAAACCGGAUGAGGCCAAACCGUAUGCGUGUGAGACCCGGCAGGGGUUGCGCAUUCGGGGUUGUGGGAUCUCUCUUUCAUGGUCUGCCGGCCAUGAGACGAGUCAGAAACCGUUGAUGUAGGCGAAGGACAUGCGAAAGGUCCGGCGUAGAGGGUAAGACCCCCGUAGUCGAAACGUCAGCGGCUCGUUUGAGAGA